GACGAACGCUGGCGGCGUGCUUAACACAUGCAAGUCGAACGCAGUGGCGAACGGGUGAGUAACACGUGAGUAACCUGCCCCCUUCUUUGGGAUAACGCCCGGAAACGGGUGCUAAUACUGGAUAGUGGGGGAUGGGCUCGCGGCCUAUCAGCUUGUUGGUGGGGUGAUGGCCUACCAAGGCUUUGACGGGUAGCCGGUCUGAGAGGAUGAACGGCCACAUUGGGACUGAGACACGGCCCAGACUCCUACGGGAGGCAGCAGUGGGGAAUCUUCCGCAAUGGACGAAAGUCUGACGGAGCAACGCCGCGUGAGUGAUGACGGCCUUCGGGUUGUAAAGCUCUGUUAAUCGGGACGCGGUACCGGAAUAGAAAGCCACGGCUAACUACGUGCCAGCAGCCGCGGUAAUAC
rnacentral:rRNA from 1 species